rnacentral:rRNA from 1 species
GAGAGAAGUUAAGAAGGGCACACGGGGGAUGCCUUGGCUUCCGGAGGCGAAGAAGGACGUGGUAAGCUGCGAUAAGCCGCGGGGAGCUGCACGCGAGCGUAGAUCCGUGGAUUUCCGAAUGGGGUAACCCCUCCGAAUGAAUUCGGAGAUCUCCGUAUAGGAGAGGCGAACCCGGGGAACUGAAACAUCUAAGUACCCGGAGGAGGAGAAAACAACAGUGAUUCCCUUAGUAGUGGCGAGCGAACGGGGAGGAGCCCAAACCCAUGGUGUUUAGGCACUGUGGGGGUAGUAGGACCGACGAGAGGCAUGCACAUUCGAAGCCGAACAGUUUGGAAAGACUGGCCAUAGGAGGUGAAAGCCCUGUAGGCGUAAGGAUGUGAGAUGUCAGUUGGUAUCCUGAGUAGCGCGGGACACGAGGAAUCCCGUGUGAAUCAGCCGGGACCAUCCGGUAAGGCUAAAUACUCCCGGAAGACCGAUAGUGAACAAGUACCGUGAGGGAAAGGUGAAAAGAACCCUGAGUAAGGGGGUGAAAGAGAACCUGAAACCGUGUGCCUACAAGCGGUCGGAGCUACGUAAGUAGUGACGGCGUGCCUUUUGCAUAAUGAGCCUACGAGUUGCGCAUCACUGGCGAGGUUAAGGGCUUAAGGUCUGGAGCCGAAGCGAAAGCGAGUCUGAAGAGGGCGUAUAGUCAGUGGUGGCAGACGCGAAACCUAGUGAUCUACCCAUGGCCAGGCUGAAGCUUCGGUAACACGGAGUGGAGGGCCGAACCAGUGAGCGUUGAAAAGCUUUUGGAUGAGCUGUGGGUAGGGGUGAAAGGCUAAUCAAACUGGGAAAUAGCUCGUACUCCCCGAAAUGCAUUUAGGUGCAGCCUUGUGGUGGAGUAUGUCAGAGGUAGAGCCACUGAUAGGAUGCGGGGGUUUCACCGCCUACCAAAUCCUGACAAACUCCGAAUGCUGACAUAUAUACACAGGAGUGAGGGCCGGGGUGCUAAGGUCACGGUCCGAGAGGGAAAGAACCCAGAUCAACGGCUAAGGUCCCGGAGUUAUCGCUAAGUUGUUCAAACGAGGUCGAACUGCAUUGACAGCUAGGAUGUUGGCUUGGAAGCAGCCAUUCAUUUAAAGAGUGCGUAACAGCUCACUAGUCGAGCGGUUUGGCAUGGACAAUAAUCGGGCAUAAGCGAUACACCGAAGCCUUGAUGCUCGUAGGAGCAGGUAGGGGAGCAUUCUGUAGGCGUUGAAGGAUAGCUGAGAGGCUUACUGGAGCGUACAGAAGAGAAAAUGUAGGCAUAAGUAACGAUAAGGCGGGUGAGAAACCUGCCCACCGAAAGACUAAGGUUUCCCGGGCGAUGUUAAUCAACCCGGGGUAAGUCGGGAGCUAAGGCGAGGUCGUUGUAGAGACGGCGUAGCUGAUGCCAAAUCGGUUAAUAUUCCGAUACCUGCUUAUAAUGCGAAGCGGGGACGAAGCAGUGACACCUCCGCCCGGUGACGGAAAUCCGGGUUAAAGCUUGUAGGUAGAUUGGCAGUAGGCAAAUCCGCUGCUGAUGCCGAAGGUGAUAGUACUCAGAGUCUACGGACGAUGAGAUAGAGAGGGUAAUCAGACUUCCGAGAAAAGCCGCUAAGCUUCAGUUAUAAGCAGCCCGUACCGUAAACCGACACAGGUAGUCGAGGAGAGGAUCCUAAGGUGCUCGAGUGAGUCGUGGCUAAGGAACUAGGCAAAUUAACCCCGUAACUUCGGGAGAAGGGGUCCCUGCCGUAAGGUGGGGCGCAGAGAAAUGGCCCAGGCGACUGUUUAUCAAAAACACAGGACUCUGCGAAUUCGAAAGAAGAAGUAUAGGGUCUGACACCUGCCCGGUGCCGGAAGGUUAAGAGGAGGGGUUAGCCGAAGAGGCGAAGCUCUGAAUUGAAGCCCCGGUAAACGGCGGCCGUAACUAUAACGGUCCUAAGGUAGCGAAAUUCCUUGUCGGGUAAGUUCCGACCUGCACGAAUGGUGUAACGAUCUGGGCACUGUCUCAGCCACGAGCUCGGUGAAAUUGUAGUCUCGGUGAAGAUGCCGGGUACCCGCAAUGGGACGAAAAGACCCCGUGAACCUUCACUACAGCUUAGUAUUGACUUUGGACAACGGAUGUGUA